GUCCACGCCGUAAACGAUGAUUGCUAGUUGUCGGGAUGCAUGCAUCUCGGUGACGCAGCUAACGCAUUAAGCAAUCCGCCUGGGGAGUACGGUCGCAAGAUUAAAACUCAAAGGAAUUGACGGGGCCCGCACAAGCGGUGGAGCAUGUGGUUUAAUUCGAAGCAACGCGCAGAACCUUACCACCUUUUGACAUGCCUGGACCGCCACGGAGACGUGGCUUUCCCUUCGGGGACUAGGACACAGGUGCUGCAUGGCUGUCGU
rnacentral:rRNA from 1 species